UGGAAAAGGUCAAAGAUCUAAAGGCAGCACAAGCAAAGAUGCAGGUUUAUGACCAAAUGAGUGCAGUAGAAGCGCAAAAGAUCGAUGUAACAAAGAUUAACACCGAAAUGAAAGUCGCUGAACAUGUAAGCUUCCCAUCUCUGCUUAAACAAGUCAUACCCCAAGCUGCAGUCACUCCUACAAGUGAUGGUACAUCAGAUCUUGUUAAAGUGCUAGCAAGUGCAUUAAGUGCUAGCCGUAUCCCUGUUCCGGAACCUACUGUGUUUUCUGGGGAUUCCUUAAGUUACAGUGACUGGAAGCUGUCAUUUCAAACGCUGAUAGACCAAAAAAAUAUCCCAGACAAGGAGAAAAUAUUCUACCUUCGGAGAUAUGUGAAUGGACCGGCUAAGAGAGCGGUUGAAGGAUAUUUCCUGCUUGGAACUGAAUCUGCAUAUGCUGCUGCCUGGAAGAUUCUGGAUGAAAGAUAUGGAAAUCCAUUCACAAUCGCGAAAGCCUUUAGAGACAAACUGCAUGCAUGGCCCAAAAUUACCUCAAGAGACAGUUUCGAACUAAGAGACUUUGCAGAUUUCUUGCGCAGUUGUGAAGCUGCUACAGCUCACAUCAAGUCAUUAGAGAUCUUGAAUGACUGCAAUGAGAACCAAAAGAUACUUUCCAAACUUCCAGACUGGCUUGCUGCUAGUUGGAACCGCAAAGUUAUUGAAAUUGAAGAACAAACAAAUCAGUUUCCCACUUUCAGCCAGUUUGUUGAGUUUUUAUCGAGAGAAGCCAAGAUAGCCUGUAAUCCUGUUACAUCUUUACAGUCACUUAAACAAUGUGAGCCUAACAAAUCAGACAAACCGAAGCUUACAAAACAGAAAGAAAUUGGAGUUAAAACCCUGAUGACGACUUCACAAGAAAAGAUACAACUGGUAUGUGUAUUCUGUAAGAAACCUAAGCACAGUUUACACAAAUGCAGAAGUUUUCUGGAAAAGGCUGUGUCAGACAGAGUCAGCUUUAUUAAGUCAGAAAGGCUAUGUUUUGGUUGUCUCAAACCAGGCCAUCAUUCGAAGAGCUGUACCAACCGCAAUAUUUGUGAAAGGUGCAGUAAAGGGCAUCCGACUUGUCUUCAUGAAGAUAGAGUUAAGGACAAAGGAGAACAAAGGCAACCAAUAGCUAAUCCAAAUCCAAGCAACGAAAGGUCAAGUCAAAGCGACCGAGUUCAAGAACAAGUUACAGCCAUGGCUACGACUAACCGAGUUGCAAGUCAAGAAAAUAACACACAGACAGCUGCAAUCAUUCCUGUGUGGCUUUCAUCUUCCACAAAACACAAAGAAGUUCUUGUGUAUGCCUUACUGGAUUCGCAAAGCGAUACAACCUUUGUUCUCAGUGAAGUUGCAAAGUUACUAGAGACAAACCAAGAACCUGUUAAACUAGAGCUGUCUACUAUGUCUUCCCAGACUACAGUUGUUCAGUCCGACAGACUUCAAAAUCUUCAAGUUCGUGGCCUUUACUCAAGCAAAAGAAUCACUUUACCUCCUACAUACACACGAGAAUUCAUUCCAGCUAACAAAGCUCACAUUCCAACUAAUGAAACAGCCAAAGCUUGGCCACAUCUGGAACACCUUCAAUCAGAAAUCGCACCUUUGCAAGAUUGCGAGGUAGGAUUGUUGAUCGGAUACAACUGCUCACAAGCUCUUCUGCCGAGAGAGAUUGUGUCAGGCAAGGAAGGCGAGCCAUACGCUCAGCGCACCGAUCUUGGUUGGAGUAUAGUUGGACAAACCAAUCACUGCCUGAACUAUGGAGAUGCAAUUGGAAUUAGUCAUCGCAUUAUUGUCAAGAAAGUCAUCCCAGAGCUUAAGCCUUCUCUAAAGCUUCAGAACAAAGUCCACUAUGUCAAUAGGACAACAGUAAAGGACAUCACCCCUUCGGACAUUAUCAAAGCACUUGAAGGAGACUUCUCUGAAAGAGCCAUUGAGGGCAACCCUGUAUCACAAGAAGAUUUAAAGUUUCUCACAAAACUCAAAGAAAACAUCACACAAAAUGAGAGCGGCCACUAUGAGAUGCCACUACCGUUUCGUGACGAAAGACCCACAUUACCAGACAAUAGAAUAUGUGCAAUGCAUCGCCUAAAGUGUCUUGAAAGGAGAUUAAGGAAAGACAAAUCAUAUUACAAUGAUUACACAAACUUCAUGGAUGACAUCAUCUCAAGAGGAGAUGCUGAAAGAGUCCCUGACAAAGAGUUGAAUAACACUCCUGCAUGGUAUAUCCCACAUCAUGGGGUUUAUCACCCACACAAACCCGGAAGAAUCAGAGUAGUAUUUGAUGCCUCGGCCAAGUACCAGGAUACUUCUCUCAAUGACCACCUCUUAACCGGUCCUGACCUGACAAACGCAUUGGUUGGUGUUCUUUGUCGUUUCCGCAGAAGUUCUGUCGCAUUCAUGUGUGAUAUAGAGCGGAUGUUUCACCAGUUCCAUGUCACAAAAGAAGACCAGGAUUACUUAAGGUUUCUUUGGUGGGAGAAGGGAGAUUUGGAAGCAUCACCAUCAGUUUACCGUAUGAAGGUCCAUCUUUUUGGAGCAGCGUCUUCUCCAGGCUGUGCCAACUUUGGCCUGAAACACCUUGCUGCCCAAGGACAAGGUCAAUUCAAAGAAAACACCAUACACUUUAUACAGAGAAACUUUUAUGUUGAUGACGGUUUGGCAAGCGUUCCUACUGAAAGGGAAGCCAUUCAGCUCAUCAAAGACUCAAGAGAGCUCUGUUCCAAAGGAAAGUUAAGACUCCACAAAUUUGUGUGCAACAGUGAGAGAGUUAUGUCCACUAUUCCAGAAGAAGAGUGUGCCACAGUGAAAGACCUUGACCUUUCUUUAAGUUUACCACGCAUUGAAAGAGCUCUUGGAGUUGAAUGGUGCGUCACUUCAGACACAUUCAAAUUCAGAGUUCAAGUCAAGUUGAACCCCCUUACAAGAAGAGGUUUACUUUCUACUGUCGCCUCCAUUUACGAUCCCCUGGGGUUUAUUGCACCGUUCGUCCUCUUGGGAAAGCAGAUUCUUCAGCAAAUGUGCAAGGAUAAGGUUGGGUGGGACCACGAGCUUCCAGAGCACUUAAAACCCCAGUGGGAAUCCUGGAUUAAAGACCUUCCAAGUUUAGCUAACAUGCAGAUUCAAAGAUGCUUCAUUCCUACAGAUUUCGGUCAGGUUAAAAGCUACGAGCUUCAUCACUUCGCAGACGCCAGUGUCAAUGGAUAUGGUGCUUGUACUUACCUGCGAGCCAUUAACCAAUCAGAUCAAGUCCAUUGUUGCUUGGUAAUGGCCAAGUCAAGAGUCACACCUACUAGUGUCACAACUAUCCCUCGACUCGAACUCUCAGCAGCAGUUGUUUCAGUUAGAGUCAGUGAUCUACUCAGGACAGAACUUGAAAUCCCAUACGUUGCUGAGUUUUUCUGGACCGACUCCACCGUUGUUCUCGGCUACAUAAAUAAUGAUGCCAAAAGGUUUCAAGUCUUCGUAGCGAAUCGGAUACAAAGGAUCAAGUCAAGCACAAAGCCAGAACAAUGGGCGUAUGUCGCAUCAGAGCAGAACCCUGCAGACUACGUUUCUCGAGGCUUAACCGCAGAACAACUGAAGUCCUCUGAAUGGUUUGAGGGGCCAGCAUUUCU
ensembl:lncRNA